UACGAAGGGGGCGAGCGUUGUUCGGAUUUACUGGGCGUAAAGGGCGCGCAGGCGGCCAUUCAAGUCAGGCGUGAAAGCCCCGGGCUUAACCUGGGAGGUGCGCUUGGGACUGGGUGGCUAGAGAUCGGGAGAGGAGAGUGGAAUUCCCAGUGUAGAGGUGAAAUUCGUAGAUAUUGGGAAGAACACCGGUGGCGAAGGCGGCGACCUGGUCCAUUACUGACGCUGAGGCGCGACAGCGUGGGGAGCAAACAGG
rnacentral:rRNA from 1 species